ACUAUUGUGUCUCAACGGUGAAGCGCUCAGCUGCUAACUGAUAGGUUGAUGGUUUGAACCCACCCAGUGGCU
rnacentral:tRNA from 1 species